GCAGCUGCAGACAUCUGCUUCACCAAGGAGCUACACUCCCACUUCUUCAGCUUGGGCAAGUGUGUGCCUGUGUGCCGAGGAGAUGGCGUCUACCAGAAGGGGAUGGACUUCAUUUUGGAGAAGCUCAACCAUGGGGACUGGGUGCAUAUCUUCCCAGAAGGUCAGCAGGGCUGACUGGGUCGAGCCCCCCCAGUAUGAGCGGGAUGGGCUCCCAAGCUUCGCCUCUGUGCUCUCUCACCAGGGAAAGUGAACAUGAGUUCCGAAUUC
rnacentral:sRNA from 1 species